GACGAACGCUGGCGGCGUGCUUAACACAUGCAAGUCGAACGGAGAGGGCCUGCUUUUGUGGGGUGCUCGGGUGGCGAACGAAUGAGUAACACGUGAGUAACCUACCCUUGACUUUGGGAUAACUUCAGGAAACUGAGGCUAAUACCGGAUAGGAGCUCCUGCUGCAUGGUGUGGGUUGGAAAGUUUCGGCGGUUGGGUAUGGACUUGCGGCUUAUGAGCUUGUUGGUGGGGUAGUGGCUUACCAAGGCUGUGACGGGUUGCCGGCCUGAGAGGGUGACCGGCAACAUUGGGACUGAGAUACGGCCGAGAGUCGUAGGGGAGGCAGCAGAGGGGAAUAAUGCACGAUGGGCGGAAGCCUGAUGCAGGAACGCGGCGUGCGGGAUGACGGCCUUCGGGUUGUAAGCCGCUUUCGCCUGUGACGAAGCGUGAGUGACGGUAAUGGGUAAAGAAGCACCGGCUAACUACGUG
rnacentral:rRNA from 1 species